rnacentral:rRNA from 1 species
AUUGAACGCUGGCGGCAUGCCUUACACAUGCAAGUCGAACGGCAGCGGGGGAGAAGCUUGCUUUUCCUGCCGGCGAGUGGCGAACGGGUGAGUAAUACAUCGGAACGUGCCCUGUAGUGGGGGAUAACUAGUCGAAAGAUUAGCUAAUACCGCAUACGACCUGAGGGUGAAAGUGGGGGACCGCAAGGCCUCAUGCUAUAGGAGCGGCCGAUGUCUGAUUAGCUAGUUGGUGGGGUAAAGGCCUACCAAGGCGACGAUCAGUAGCUGGUCUGAGCGGCCGGUCCGGCGCACGGGGUCUGAGACACGGCCCAGACUCCUACGGGAGGCAGCAGUGGGGAAUUUUGGACAAUCGGCGAGAGCCUGAUCCAGCAAUGCCGCGUGUGUGAAGAAGGCCUUCGGGUUUUGAAGCACUUUUGUCCGGAAAGAAAUGGCUCUGGUUAAUACCUGGGGUCGAUGACGGUACCGGAAGAAUAAGGACCGGCUAACUACGUGCCAGCAGCCGCAGUAA